rnacentral:lncRNA from 1 species
CACUACCACAUUCCUCUUCUUUUCAGGCCUCCAAAUAGCAUGUUCCACACAUUAGAAUGACUGCAGGUGGAGAGUGCUAUAGUUUGGAUCUUAAAUGAUCCCCAAAGGCUCAUAUGUCGAAGGUUUGGUCCCUAUGUUGGUGCCAUUGGGAGGUGGUAGAACUUUUAAGUGGAGCCUAGUGGGAGGUCUUUGGAUUAUUGGGGUUGUACCUUCAAAGAAAAUUGUUUUUAAUCCCUGUCUCUUUCUUUCUGUUUUUAGCUUUCUGGCCAUGAGGUGAGCAGCUUUGCUCCACCACAUGCACCUGCAUGAUGUGCCACCAUCAGCCCCAAACAACAGGACCAACCAAUAAUGGACUAAAACCUAUAAAACUAUGAGUCAAAAAACAUUUUUCUUUUUAAAAGUUGAUUGUUUAUGGUGUUUGCUAGAGUAAUGGAAAGCUGACUAACACAGAGGGUCAGAGGGGUAAUUGGUAUCUUAUGUGACACCUUCUACACAAUGCAAUGUUAUGCCACUUAAAAAAUACUUACAAUGACCCCUGGGACUGGGGUUGUGGCUCAGUGGUAGAGCGCUUGCCUAGCAUGUAUGAGGCCCUGGGUUCAAUCCUCAGCACCACAUAUGAAUAAACAAAUAAAAUAAAAUAUCCAUUGGCAACUAAAAACAUUUAAAAAAUGCAAUGACCACAAAUUAAUAUGAAAAGAAUGCAUGUCCACCUAUUUCCCUGGAAGGCUCAUUGUGGUGAAGGGGGCACCAUCCUUCUGACGGAAACCAGAGCUCAGGGUUUCUUUCUAAAGUCCUCCCUCCCUUCAUUACCUGUAUCCUAUUUUCACUCACUGUGUGGAGGCCAGGGCCACUCUCAGAGCUCAAGAGGAGCCCCUGUUUGGGGGCUUCCCUGUAGCUGUACUGUUCACCAUGGAUGAGGGGUCUAUGGGUCCAGGGGACAUGCCUACUCAAAGCCUGUGCCUGUUUUAGACCAUGCAGCAUGUCAAACACCCUCAUGGGUCUCUCUCCAGGGUCUCACGUGCAUACCUGUGGAGACUCUGCAAUUGAUUGAGGCUUCCAGGUCAUCGUGAAAGCUUGUGUGUCAAGGAAAAUUAAGAGUUUGUCUGGAUUAGCCUUCACUCUCCUACAUGACGAUGCUGUGAUAUUGUAAUAUAAUAAGAAAUAUGUAUUUGGUCUAAUAUAGUUUGGACCUGGAAUGUUCCCCAAAGGCCCUUGUGUUGAAGGCUUGGGCCUCCAACCUGAUGGUACUGGAAGCUGGUGGAAACGUAGGAAAGUGAGGCCUAGUGAAAGGAAGUUAGAUCACUGGACACAUGUCCUUGAAGAGGAUGUGGGAAUCCAAGACUCUUUCUGUCUCUUUGUUUCCUGGCCACCAUGAGAUGAGCAACUUUGCUCUACCAUAUGCUUCCCACCAUGAUGUUUUGCUUUGCCACAGGCCCAAAGGCAGUGGAAACAACCAACCAGGACUGAAACCUCUGAAACUGUGAGCCAAAAUAAAUUUUUCCUCCUUAUAAAUAGAUUAUCUCAGGUAUUUUGUCACAAUAAUGGAAAGCUAACUAACAUAAUUUUUAUGGUCAGUCCCUCACUCCCUUGCCUUUCAUGGAAUAUAGCUCCUCAAACCCAAGGCAUCUCUGGAGGGAUAAGUGUCUUUUUGUGCACUAAUGAGGUAACUACUGGCCAGAGAAUGUAGUUUGGUUGCCAGGGGAACCAACCACAGGAUUAAAAAACUUGAAUUUUCAGCCCCACCUCCAAACUGUGGGGAAGAGAGAGGGGCUAAAGGUUGAGUUGAUCACCAAUGGCCAAUGAUGUAAUCAAUCAUGUCUAUGUAAUAAAGUUUCCAAAACACCACACAGGGACAGGAUUUCAAGAGCUUCCAGCUGCUGAAAAAAAUGGGGGUACCUGGAGGGUGGAUGGCCUUGUGGGGGACAUGGAAGCUCCUGUAACUUCCCAUAUACUUGCCCUAUAUAAUUUCUUAUACAAUAUCUUUUAUAAGAAACGAGUUAAUAUUAAAUAAAGUGUUUCCCUGCCUUCUGUGAGCCAUUCUAGUAAAUGAUUGAGCCAAGGAGAGGAUCAUGGGAACCUGCUGACUUAUAGCAAGUUGAUCAGAAGCACAGAUGACAACCUCUAACCUGACUUAAGACUAUCAUCUGAAAUGGGGGCAGCCUUGUGGGACAGAGCCUUCAACCUGUGGGUUCAGAUGCUAACUUUAUAGAUUGGGUCAGAAUUGUGGGGACACUCAUUUGAUGUCUGCAGAGAAUUAGAGUUGAGUUGCUUGGUGUGGGGAA